GACGAACGCUGGCGGCGUGCUUAACACAUGCAAGUCGAACGGAAAGGCCCUGCUUUUGUGGGGUGCUCGAGUGGCGAACGGGUGAGUAACACGUGAGUAACCUGCCCUUGACUUUGGGAUAACUUCAGGAAACUGGGGCUAAUACCGGAUAGGAGCUCCUGCUGCAUGGUGGGGGUUCGAAAGUUUCGGCGGUUGGGGAUGGACUCGCGGCUUAUCAGCUUGUUGGUGGGGUAGUGGCUUACCAAGGCUUUGACGGGUAGCCGGCCUGAGAGGGUGACCGGCCACAUUGGGACUGAGAUACGGCCCAGACUCCUACGGGAGGCAGCAGUGGGGAAUAUUGCACAAUGGGCGGAAGCCUGAUGCAGCAACGCCGCGUGCGGGAUGACGGCCUUCGGGUUGUAAACCGCUUUCGCCUGUGACGAAGCGUGAGUGACGGUAAUGGGUAAAGAAGCACCGGCUAACUACGUG
rnacentral:rRNA from 1 species